GCCUUUGUGGUGUAGUGGUCAGCACACUGAGCGCGUAUUCCAAAGGUCCGUGGUUCGAGUCCCGGCUAAAGCG
rnacentral:tRNA from 1 species